CUGCUGGUAAAGGUCAUUACGUAUUACUUUACUUACCGGAGGAAAAGAAACCAACAGGGAUUGCCCCAGUAACGGCGAGUGAAGCGGCAACAGCUCAAAUUUGAAAUCUGGUCCCUAGGGCCCGAGUUGUAAUUUGUAGAGGAUGCUUUGGGUGAGGAACCGCCCGAGUUCCCUGGAACGGGACGCCACAGAGGGUGAGAGCCCCGUCUGGUGGAUGCCGAGCCUCUGUAAAGCUCCUUCGACGAGUCGAGUAGUUUGGGAAUGCUGCUCUAAAUGGGAGGUAUAUGUCUUCUAAAGCUAAAUAUUGGCCAGAGACCGAUAGCGCACAAGUAGAGUGAUCGAAAGAUGAAAAGCACUUUGAAAAGAGGGUUAAAUAGUACGUGAAAUUGUUGAAAGGGAAGCGCUCAUGACCAGACUUGGGCUUGGGGAAUCAUCCAGCGUUCUCGCUGGUGCACUUCGCCUCGUUCAGGCCAGCAUCAGUUCGCUUCGGGGGAUAAAGACUUUGGGAACGUGGCUCCUCCGGGAGUGUUAUAGCCCAUUGUGUAAUACCCUGAGGUGGACUGAGGUUCGCGCAUCUGCAAGGAUGCUGGCGUAAUGGUCAUCAGCGACCCGUCUUGAAACACGGACCAAGGAGUCGUCCUCGUAUGCGAGUGUUCGGGUGUAAAACCCCUACGCGUAAUGAAAGUGAACGCAGGUGAGAGCUUCGGCGCAUCAUCGACCGAUCCUGAUGUUCUCGGAUGGAUUUGAGUAAGAGCAUACGGGGCCGGACCCGAAAGAAGGUGAACUAUGCCUGUAUAGGGUGAAGCCAGAGGAAACUCUGGUGGAGGCUCGCAGCGGUUCUGACGUACAAAUCGAUCGUCAAAUAUGGGCAUGGGGGCGAAAGACUAAUCGAACCUUCUAGUAGCUGGUUUCCGCCGAAGUUUCCCUCAGGAUAGCAGUGUUGACUCAGUUUUAUGAGGUAAAGCGAAUGAUUAGGGACUCGGGGG
rnacentral:rRNA from 2 species